GUAAUUUAAUUAGUUAUUGUUAUCUAGUAGUAGAAUGUUAUAGAAAAUUUUAUUUGUUUGAAUAAGCAACUAGUAGGUUUAUAUAUGUUUUAAAAAGAUUGAUUUCAGUUUUUUUAGAAUAUAUUUAUUCUUCAUUAUAUAAGUUUUAUGAUGGCAGAGAAAUCCCGAGACUCAGCUGCCACCUAGCCCAUUAGAAGUUUACUACAAGCUGCACUAUAAUGCCAAGAAAAAAUGAUGGCUAAAUGAAGAUUCACAUAUUGUAUAUGAUAAUAUUUGUAAACAUAAAGAGGCGGCCAUGGCUAGACUAAAUACCGAAGGAACCAUCGUUACUACUGCUAUGGAACACGACGUGGAGAGAAAAGCCAUCAAAAGUGUAUGUGGCAGGGCUAAAACAAUACAAUCAGCAUGGGAGGUAGGUGUUGGUCCUCUGUAUUAAGGAAAAAAGAUAACUGGAUGAAAUCGGCAGUCGAAUCAUCUCAACGAGAUUCAACUGAGAACGAAGAUUUGAGAAAUGAGGUUACUGAACUCAAGGAGGAAUUGAAACAGAGUAACGAAAAAUACGAAAGAGUGACAGAGUUCUUGAGCCGAAAAUAUCCAGAUUUCGAGAGCACAAUAUCUACAAAUGAUGUUGGUGAAGAUGAUGGUUUGAAUGGACUACACAACGAAAGUGACAACACUAUCUAGGCAGUUAGUUAAGACGUUUAUUACUUUUUUUUUCUCUAAUACUCUUCUAAAUUUCAGAAUUGAUGAACUGGUGUUAUUUUGAUUUUCAUUGGCUAUUGUUAUGACAUUAAUGCUUGAGUUUAUUGUGA